GGCGAUCUUGUCUUAGAGUUGGAUUCAAAGCACAAAAGAUGCCAAUGGAAGAUGGCGAUCAUUAUUGGAACAUAUCCAGGAAACGAUGGAUGCGUGAGAAAAGUCCGAAUAAAGAAUGCCGAUGGAGAAUAUGACCGGCCAAUACACAAACUUUGUCUUAUCGCGACAAAAGAGGAACUAAAUGACAAGGAGAACCAACACAAAUAGUUGUCUACAUUAAG
rnacentral:lncRNA from 1 species